rnacentral:rRNA from 1 species
GACUAAUUACCCGAGUAGUCCUGGCUGUAAACUCUGCGAGCUAGGUGUUGCGCAUUCUUCCGAGAGUGUGCAGUAUCGUAGCGAAGGCGUUAAGCUCCCGCUGGGAAGUAUGUCGCAAGACUGAAACUUAAAGGAAUUGGCGGGGAAGCACUACAAGGGGUGCGGCGUGCGGUUCAAUCGAAUUCAACACCGAAAUCUCACCAGCAGCGACGGCAGAAUGAAGGUCAGAUUGAAGGUCUUACCUAACAAGCCGAGAGGUGGUGCAUGGCCGCCGUCAGCUCGUGCCGUAAGGUGUCCAUUUAAGUAUGGUAACGAGCGAGAUCUGUGCUCACUAUUGCUAACGAGUUCUUUAGAAUGAUCGAGCACAUUGUGAGGACUGCCUUGGAAACAAGGAGGAAGGUGCAGGCUACGGUAGGUCUGUAUGCCCCGAAUCUGCUGGGCUACACGCGCGCAACAAUGGUAGGAACAAUGGGAUACGACUCCGAAAGGAGAAGUUAAACCUCGAAAUCCUAUCCAAGUCCAAAUCGAGGAUUGUACUCAUCCUCGUGACGCUGGAUCCCUAGUAAUCAGAAGUCAC